rnacentral:sRNA from 1 species
UGACUGUACUUGUCGAUAGCAUCAGA